rnacentral:rRNA from 1 species
AGUGAACGCUGGCGGCGUGCCUAAUACAUGCAAGUCGAACGGAGUGGCGCACGGGUGAGUAAUAUAUAGCUAAUCUGCCCCUUGCUGGAGGACAACAGUUAGAAAUGACUGCUAAUACCCCAUAGCAAGGGAUGGGACUAUAUCGUAUCAGCUAGUCGGUGGGGUAACGGCCUACCGAGGCUAUGACGCGUAACUGGUCUGAGAGGAUGAGCAGUAACAUUGGAAGUGAGACACGGUCCAAACUCCUACGGGAAGGAGCAGUAGGGAAUAGUGCGAAAUGGGGGAAAGCGUGACGCGGCAACGCCGCGUAGAGGAUGACAAUUUUCGGAGCGUAAACUCCUUUUGUUAGGGAAGCGGUACCUAACGAAUAAGCACCGGCUAACUCCGUGCCAGCAGCCGCGGUAAUUC